rnacentral:tRNA from 1 species
GCCGAGGUGGCGGAAUUGGCAGACGCGCCACGUUCAGGGCGUGGUGGGUAUUAGACCCAUGUGGGUUCGAGUCCCACCCUCGGCA